AAAAGGCGGCAACAUUCAUGCGCAUGCGAAUGUUUUCAUAAACCAAUUUCCAAAUUAUCAGGCGACGGUGUGUUAAAGUUGAAAUGCUGUUCGCAUUCGCCCCCCAAAUAUAGCCCUUAAAAGUAUACAUCUUUCUAUAACAAACUCCUUAAAGACUCGGAUUCUGCGAAACGUUGCCUCUAUCGAAAAGUACAACAGGCCAUCGGUCUACACCCAAACAAAUGAGCAAAAGUGAGAGGAGUAGCUAGCUCUAGCUUGUUGGCCUAAUUCAGUGAUGUUGCUGCUCUAGACUACAACAACUCACUACGGUUUAGGCCUGUAUAUUACAGCAAUUUGAUGUACAUGUUAGUGAAUUAAUGCGUUUACGGUAGCAAAAAACGCUUGAAAAAAGGUAGCACUAAUUCCCGAAUCAUCAGACAUUCUGACGUCAUUGCAAGAAACUCAACACAACACCAUCUGCUGGAUGACUGUAAGAAGUACAAAUGCAAAUCUCAACAAAAUAGAAUGGAAAGGCUUCUUGCUCCAUCGUGUUGCUGGCUUCAUGGAGGCUACGAAAAGCUGUUUGUCUGUCCAGUUGGAGGAAGGCUGGGGUGUUCACAGGGAUGGAUUGCUAUCCAAUGGAAUAAAAAAAAAAGGAGACAGGAAAUGCCUUGACCAACACGGGGGGAAGUUGGUAUUGUGUUGCUAAAGCAACACAAAGCCCUGCUAUUGAUGCAUUGGUGACCUCCAUGGAAUAUGAUUGAUUCUAUCUCAAAAG